rnacentral:rRNA from 1 species
CCUUGACCUCAAAUCAGGUAGGACUA